rnacentral:lncRNA from 10 species
UCACAGUGAGCCGUGAUCAUGCCGGUGCACCCUAGCCUGGGUGACAAAAUGUAUAAAACUCUGGUCCCCAUUAAGGAGACACUCCAGUCCUCAGGGAAAAUCAGACCUGGCACUGUCGUCCAUGAGUAUGAGACGGGAAGAGCUGUGGUCCAGGAUGGAACGGAAGUCAUACUGCACAUACCAGGUGUUCAGUAAAUGCUCCGAUCUUCAGGUGCGCGUUGUCUCUCUCUCUCUCUCUCUCGAGUAGACACUUAAUUCAACUAACGGGAGGCUGGCCAGUUGUUUCACCACCUAUCCUACUUUCCCCAGCUCUUGUG